rnacentral:rRNA from 1 species
UGGGGAAUAUUGCACAAUGGAGGGAACUCUGAUGCAGCGACGCCGCGUGAGUGAUGAAGGAAUUCGUUUCGUAAAACUCUGUUCUAUGGGAAGAAAAGGACUGUACCAUAGGAGAAAGCUCCGGCUAAAUACGUGCCAGCAGCCGCGGUAAUACGUAUGGAGCGAGCGUUGUCCGGAAUUAUUGGGCGUAAAGGGUGCGCAGGCGGCUUUACAAGUUGGAUGUGAAAUAUUGUGGCUCAACCACAAACGUGCAUCCAAAACUGCAAAGCUUGAGUUAAGGAGGGGGAAGUGGAAUUCCUGGUGGAGCGGUGGAAUGCGUAGAUAUCAGGAGGAAUACCGGUGGCGAAGGCGACUUACUGGACUUAAACUGACGCUCAGGCACGAAAGCGUGGGGAGCAAACAGG